UCAAACAGUCGACACAUCUUCUUUAGCUACUGUUGGUGAACGGGUCGGCGAGAAGUUUUUCCGACAACCAGUCAGACCAUUCAUUUUCUGGGAAAUCUUCCUGCCGCGCAACAGUUAGACAGCACCGGAAUCACAAGAUCCGCCGCAGGAAAGUCUUGACGGCUAGAGGCCAAACGAUAGUGGACUAGGGCAACCAUUCUUCUGAUUAAUCGCUUCCGAUCUGGUCCAAGGAGACAUCUGGCGUCGAAACCCUUCAUGAGUUGUUCGAAAGGAACUGUCCGCCAACAAAAAUCGUUCAAUGUGCCGGUUCAAAAGUCUAAUUACAGGGAAAAUCGAUAAUGUGAACAUGAACUUACAAAUGAAUAAAAUGUUUUAAACCAUAAGUGAUUUCUUUUAUUUCCAAUUGGACGAAAAUUAAUAUAAAGUACUAGA